GAAGCUCAGUGGCAGAGCAGCUGCUUGGCAUGCAGAAGGUCCCAGGUUCAAUCCCCAGUGGCAUCU